rnacentral:rRNA from 1 species
GCGCGUCCUAGCUGAGUUAGACGGGUCCCAAGCUGAGGGCGAUGGGCGUAGGCGAUAGGUAAUAGGUUGGAAAUGCUGUACCGCCUAAAACCGUUUUUAUCGAUGGGGGGACGCAUUAGGAUAGGCGAAGCGGGCGAUUGGAUUGCACGUGUAAGCAGUAAGGCUGGGUGAUAGGGAAAGCCGGUAAUCGUUAAGGCGGGGCUGUGAUGGGGAGAAGACAUUGGGUCGACGACUCGUUGAUUUCACACUGACGAGAAAAGCCGCUAGAUAGAAAAUAGGUGCCCGUAACACAAACCGACACAGGUAGUCAAGAUGAGAAUUCUAAGGUGAGCUAGCGAACUCUCGUUAAGGAACUCGGCAAAAGGAACCCGUACCUUCGGGAGAAGGGGUGCUCUUUAGGGUUAACGCCCAGAAGAGCCGCAGUGAAUAGGCCCAAGCGACUGUUUAUCAAAAACAC